rnacentral:rRNA from 1 species
GACGGAGGGGGCUAGCGUUGUUCGGAAUUACUGGGCGUAAAGAGCGCGUAGGCGGUCUAGUAAGUUGGAAGUGAAAGCCCGAGGCUUAACCUCGGAACUGCUUUCAAAACUGCUAGACUAGAGUAUAGUAGGGGAUGAUGGAAUUCCUAGUGUAGAGGUGAAAUUCUUAGAUAUUAGGAGGAACACCGGUGGCGAAGGCGAUCAUCUGGGCUAUUACUGACGCUGAUGUGCGAAAGCGUGGGGAGCAAACAGG